rnacentral:misc_RNA from 1 species
ACGAACUAAAGCUUUUUUUUUUAAUUAGCUGCAUUUUUGGUCAUUGCACCCCUUCAUGUCUGUUAAGUGGACCAUGAAUCAAUUAUGAAUUGUAUUUAUGAUGAGAUUCACAUGUAAAAUAUGUAUGAUGAAAUUUACAUUUACAUGAUGAACUAGAUAUGGCAAAGUUUAUAUAUAUAUAGAAACCAAAAUCAUACAGGAACAGUACCCUUCUGAGUUGUGGUAAGCUUCAAUCCAAUGUCGCAUCUAUGACCUCCUUCAGUGUAUAAAUAUGUAAUUCAAUCCCUCAUUUACUGUAAAUGCACCAAAUGGGCAGCUCUGUGCUCCAAUUACAGCUUGGAGAUUCCAGUCUUUCUUGAUUUGUUUCCGAAGAUUUGGGUUCUGUCCUGAAUAGAUUUUGAUCAAGAAGAAAAUAAGCACUAUUGUUCAGGCACACUUUGACGCCCAGCCCUGAUUCAGAUGGACUGCCAAUGACAUCCAGUUCUCAAUUAAGCAUUUUGACUCAGCAAAUCUGAAGCUUUAGUUAGCCCAAACAGAUUCUGUCAAACUGGGCCUUUUUAGAAAACAAUAGAAAGACUUGGAUUGAGCUUGUGAAAGCUUGGAAAAGUGAUAUAAGUAGCAUUCACAACAAACUUCUUUGCAUCAAAAGCCCAAUUGUGCAUUCAGUUCGAGGGUCAGCACUCAGCCACCUGGUUCAAUUGUUUGCAUCUAAAUUAACCCAUUUCCCUUCAUAAGUUUGUGGAUUUAGUACCAAGGUUUCCUCACAAUUCCCAAACCAAGGACCACAACUAUUAGCCCCGGCCUAGACAGUUGUAAAAUUGCCUUGUAUAAACAACUACAAGGUCUUCAUGUGCCAGGAUUUAUUUUCAGGGGCUAUGUUCUAAUCUGAAACUAUGUGAAGAAUGGGG